GGCGCAGUGAGCAGUGAGCCACGGAAACUCAACUCUGCCAUGUCCCACAGGGAAGCAUGAAUCAGGAUGACAGUCAAUGCCACAAAAUCCAAAGCCGUGUGGGUGCUUCUUUGACUAGAGACAGAGCAAGGGCAGGAGUGAAGCUCAGGCUUCUGCACCAACCCAGCGAGACAUCAGUCAUCUCUAAGCACUGCAGCUCUCUGCCCCUCUGAUUCUCAAAGGAGGACCACAAGGACCAUAUUCCAUGGAGUCAUAGCUACAGCAGGAUAAUAUGAAGUUUAUAUGCCAUUGAAGAGGCAGACAGGAGCUGCAGCAUGUAUUCACAACUGAGAACUUGUCCUGUGAAGGAAGAAAACAAUGCCCCUUGGAGCAAAGAAUGAAGAGAUGACUUGUAUUUGAAAAACCACCCACAGCUGCACGUUGAUGUGCUCGAGUGGCUUGUUGAUGCUGCCUGAAGUUGGGGUUCUGGCUGUACCAGUUAUUUACCCUUUGAUUAAAAAAAACUUUAAUUCUGAUUGAAAAUCAC
rnacentral:lncRNA from 1 species